CUUGGUCAUUUAGUGGAAGUAAAAGUCGUAACAAGGUUUCCGUAGGUGACCCUGCGGAAGGAUCAUUAUUGAAUUUGGGUUUCCAUAUUCUUAUCACCUGUGCACUUUUUGUAGGCCAUUCAUUUGGUCUAUGUGUUUUAUUAUAACCAAUCUGUAAUGUGAACGGAAACGAUGAUAACAAUUACAACUUUCAACAACGGAUCUCUUGGCUCUCGCAUCGAUGAAGAACGCAGCGAAAUGCGAUAAGUAAUGUGAAUUGCAGAAUUCAGUGAAUCAUCGAAUCUUUGAACGCACCUUGCGCUCCUUGGUAUUCCGAGGAGCAUGCCUGUUUGAGUGUCAUUAAACUCUCAAAAGUCUUGUUUGACUUUUUGGAUUUGGAGUGUUGCUGGCUUCUUGGUCGGCUCCUCUUAAAUGCAUUAGCUUGUAUCUCUGUGGAUUAGGCUUUGGUUUGAUAGUAUCUAUGCCAUUGCCUUUGAAACAAAUGGGUCAGCUUCUAAUUGAUAGUAAUAUCUCUUUGACA
rnacentral:rRNA from 1 species